UUGCAGGAGGGCUUGCGUUUUCACACAAAACUUGAUACAGUGUAGAAUGUUUUUCUUUUGCAGUCACAUGCAAUCAAUACAACUUUCAACAACGGAUCUCUUGGCUCUCGCAUCGAUGAAGAACGCAGCGAAAUGCGAUACGUAAUGUGAAUUGCAGAAUUCAGUGAAUCAUCGAAUCUUUGAACGCACCUUGCGCCCCUUGGCAUUCCGAGGGGCACACCCGUUUGAGUGUCGUGAAAUCAUCAAAACCCUUUUCUUUGAUCCCUAUUGUGGUCAGGAAAAGGAUUUUUGGACUUGGAGGUUUCAUGCUUGCUUUUGCUUUCAAAAGUGAGCUCCUCUCAAAUGAAUUAGUGGGGUCUGCUUUGCUGGUCCUUGACGUGAUAAGAUGUUUCAACGUUUUGGAUUUGGCACUGUCC
rnacentral:rRNA from 1 species